rnacentral:rRNA from 1 species
GCUGGCACCUCCGGUGUCCGCGUUGUAAUCUCGAGACGUGUUUUCCGUGCGGCUCUAUGGACAAGUCCCUUGGAAUAGGGCAUCGUAGAGGGUGAGAAUCCCGUACUUGCCAUGGAAGAACCGUGCUUUGCGAUACACGCUCUAAGAGUCGAGUUGUUUGGGAUUGCAGCUCAAAAUGGGUGGUAGACUCCAUCUAAAGCUAAAUAUCGGGGAGAGACCGAUAGCGAACAAGUACCGUGAGGGAAAGAUGAAAAGCACUUUGGAAAGAGAGUUAAAAGUACGUGAAAUUGUCGAAAGGGAAGCACUUGAAGUCAGCCAUGCUGCUUGAGACUCAGCCUGGCCUUUGGGCUUGGUGUAUUUCUCGGUGGCAAGCCAGCAUUGGUUUGGGUCGUCGGAGAAGCGCAUAGGGAAUGUAGCGUCUCCGGACGUGUUAUAGCCUUAUGCAGGAUACGACGACCUGGAUCAAGGAACGCAGUGUGCCCUCU